UGUGAUAAGAGGUGGUAAAACAGCGAUCCAGUUGAGCCCGCUUUCCUUCACAGCAUCGAACAUUCUUUGAUGGUCUUCAGUCACAUCUUUGUAUUUAGCGGGCACGUCGUUUGGUUUGUAGAAAAGAAAAGCUAAACGAAAUUUUGCAAAUACGUUUCGAAUUAAAAAUUUACCAGAUAGACAGACA